UUGACCUCAAAUCAAGUAGGACUACCCGCUGAACUUAAGCAUAUCAUA
rnacentral:rRNA from 1 species